GACGAACGCUGGCGCGUGCUUAACACAUGCAAGUCGAACGGAAAGGCCCUGCUUUUGUGGGGUGCUCGAGUGGCGAACGGGCGAGUAACACGUGAGUAACCUGCCCUUUACUUUGGGAUAACUUCAGGAAACUGGGGCUAAUACCGGAUAGGAGCUCCUGCUGCAUGGUGGGGGUUGGAAAGUUUCGGCGGUUGGGGAUGGACUCGCGGCUUAUCAGCUUGUUGGUGGGGUAGUGGCUUACCAAGGCUUUGACGGGUAGCCGGCCUGAGAGGGUGACCGGCCACAUUGGGACUGAGAUACGGCCCAGACUCCUACGGGAGGCAGCAGUGGGGAAUAUUGCACAAUGGGCGGAAGCCUGAUGCAGCAACGCCGCGUGCGGGAUGACGGCCUUCGGGUUGUAAACCGCUUUCGCCUGUGACGAAGCGUGAGUGACGGUAAUGGGUAAAGAAGCACCGGCUAACUACGUG
rnacentral:rRNA from 1 species